rnacentral:rRNA from 1 species
ACAAGCGGUGGAUGAUGUGGAUUAAUUCGAUGCAACGCGAAGAACCUUACCACCCUUGACAUGUCCGGAACUUGCCAGAGAUGGCUUGGUGCCCGAAAGGGAAUCGGAACACAGGUGCUGCAUGGCUGUCGUCAGCUCGUGUCGUGAGAUGUUGGGUUAAGUCCCGCAACGAGCGCAACCCUUGUCAUUAGUUGCCAUCAUUUGGUUGGGCACUCUAAUGAGACUGCCGGUGACAAACCGGAGGAAGGUGGGGAUGACGUCAAGUCCUCAUGGCCCUUAUGGGUAGGGCUUCACACGUCAUACAAUGGUCGGUACAGAGGGUUGCCAACCCGCGAGGGGGAGCUAAUCCCACAAAGCCGAUCGUAGUCCGGAUCGCAGUCUGCAACUCGACUGCGUGAAGUCGGAAUCGCUAGUAAUCGUGGACCAGCAUGCCACGGUGAAUACGUUCCCGGGUCUU